rnacentral:piRNA from 1 species
CACUCAGUAUUUACAUGGACCCCCUUUGUC